rnacentral:rRNA from 1 species
CAGGAUGAACGCUAGCUACAGGCUUAACACAUGCAAGUCGAGGGGCAGCAUGAACUUAGCUUGCUAAGUUUGAUGGCGACCGGCGCACGGGUGAGUAACACGUAUCCAACCUGCCGAUGACUCGGGGAUAGCCUUUCGAAAGAAAGAUUAAUACCCGAUGGCAUAGUUCUUCCGCAUGGUAGGACAAUUAAAGAAUUUCGGUCAUCGAUGGGGAUGCGUUCCAUUAGCUUGUUGGCGGGGUAACGGCCCACCAAGGCAUCGAUGGAUAGGGGUUCUGAGAGGAAGGUCCCCCACAUUGGAACUGAGACACGGUCCAAACUCCUACGGGAGGCAGCAGUGAGGAAUAUUGGUCAAUGGGCGCUAGCCUGAACCAGCCAAGUAGCGUGAAGGAUGACUGCCCUAUGGGUUGUAAACUUCUUUUAUAUGGGAAUAAAGUGCAGUAUGUAUACUGCUUUGCAUGUACCUUAUGAAUAAGGAUCGGCUAACUCCGUGCCAGCAGCCGCGGUAAUACGGAGGAUCCGAGCGUUAUCCGGAUUUAUUGGGUUUAAAGGGAGCGUAGGCGGGUUGUUAAGUCAGUUGUGAAAGUUUGCGGCUCAACCGUAAAAUUGCAGUUGAUACUGGCAUCCUUGAGUACAGUAGAGGUAGGCGGAAUUCGUGGUGUAGCGGUGAAAUGCUUAGAUAUCACGAAGAACUCCGAUUGCGAAGGCAGCCUGCUGGACUGUAACUGACGCUGAUGCUCGAAAGUGUGGGUAUCAAACAGGAUUAGAUACCCUGGUAGUCCACACAGUA